rnacentral:tRNA from 1 species
GCCCCGGUAGCUCAAUUGGCAGAGCGACUGGCUUGUAACCAGUAGGUUGAGGGUUCAAGUCCCUCCCGGGGCU